rnacentral:lncRNA from 1 species
GGAUGUGUUUGGAUGAAGGUUGUGUUGAAAAUGGGAGUGAAUGAUCUAACAAAGUAUGAACUCAAUUUAUGUUACACACACUUUCUUUUAUAGAGGAAGUGCAAGGCAAAGCAUGGGUAAAAUGGAGUGGUGUUGAAAUGAUUCAAAGGUGGAAGUGAAGUAAUGAUGCAAAGCAUGGGUAAAAUGGAGUGGUGUUGAAAUGAUUCAGAGGUGAAAGUGAAGUAAUGAUGCAAAGCAUGGGUAAAAUGGAGUGGUGUUGAAAUGAUUUAAAGGUGAAAGUGAAGUAAUGAUGCAAAGAAUGGGUAAAAUGGAGUAGUGUUGAAAUGAUUCAAAGGUGAAAAAUUGAAGUAAUGAUGCAAAAGCAUGGGUAAAAUGGAGUGGUGUUGAAAUGAUUCAAAGGUGAAAGUGAAGUGAUGAUUGAUGCAAGAAUUAAACAUGGAUGGAGUGCAUGGCAAAGGUUUGUUAUGGUACAAGGAACCCUUAAUUUGUGUCCUAAAAUGCAUAGGAAACCUUCAAUGUUGCUGGAACUUAGGGACAUUUAGGAUUUAGGAAAGAUCAAACCAAAAUAGGAAACCUUGGCUUAACUUUCCUACUUCAAGUAGGAAUCCUCAUCUUUAGGUCUUCAAUUUUGUCCAUUCCUUUAGUUCCAAGCAUGUGAUAUUUAUUCCAAGCCCAAAAUUGCUCCAAAAGGCUCCAAAAUGCACAUUUUUGCAUACUUUGUCCUUAGAACCUGAAAUUGCACAAAAAUGACUUUAAACACUAAAACUACUAAGGAAUAACAACAUAAAUGCAUGAGAAGAAGCUAACUCAGUCGCAUAAAUAUGCUCCUAUCAAUAGUCAUGUGCGAGCCUGUGUAACUGUUUAUUCUCAUGCUUGAGCCUUUUAUCUCCUGUUUGAGAUUUAUCACUUCAGCCGCCAAUGAUUCAACUUGGCGGGUUCGAGCAAAUAGGCGUUGGGCCAUAUUAGACAUAAAACCUGCACACUGAACACUGAGAGCCAGAGAAUUCUUAACAACCAACUCAUCAGACCGUUUGGAAAGUAGUCUGUUAUCUUUGGGAGUGAGGAGGUUCCUGGCCACCACCGUAGCAGUCAUAUCAUUCUUAAUCACUGAGUUCCUAACGGUAAAAGGACCAGUAAGAGAUAAGAAGGAUGGGUGCCAUAUGUUGUCUUGAGAAGGCAUUGCUGCCUCUUCACCAAAGUUCAAGUCAAAACGACGGUCAGAUGGUCCAGACAUUCUCAGAAAUGAUGAAGGAGAAAUAAGGUGCAAUAAAUCUCUGAAGUAAGGGGAAAAUUCCUACAAGCAAUAACUCUCUGAAUGUAUUUCUUGCACACAAUUGGUGCCCUUACAAAAGAAAGGGCAACAUGGCUGUUGGUUCAAAAAUCGAAGUGGCACCACUCUCCAGAUUUCGAAGACGCAUCACUUUCCACACGCAACAUCAGCUUCUCGGGUACCACAGAUAACUUCGCCAAAGAUCUCUGACAAAGUUUAGACACAUAAAUUUUGAAGAUCCAGCUACCCUACUAUUACCCACAAAGAUAAAGGAACAACACCACUGCUUGAUAACUAGAAAGUCCCAAUAUGUGUCAACCUCCGUGCUCCGUCGCAAGGCUGACUAGCAAAAAUGCCUAACCUUUACUCACAUUCGAGAAAACACUCCCAACAAGAUUGCUUGCUCAAAAAUCGAAGAGGCACCACUCUUCGAAUCUCGAGAGCCAGACUCCCAAUAGGAUUACUUUUUCAAAAAUCGAAGAGACACUGCUCUCCAAAUCUCAAGAGUCAGACUCCCAACAGGAUUGCUUUCUCAAAAAUCGAAGAGGCACCAUUCUCUGAAUCUCGAGAGCCAGAUCCCCGACAGGAUUGCUUGUUUGAAAACCAAAGAGGCACCGCUCUCCGAACUUCAAGAGCCAGAUUUCCUUGGAUAAAGCUUGUCUGCAAUUUUCACACGCAACAUCAGCUUUCCAGAUACCACAUACCAAUUUUUCAAAGCGCUCUGACAAAGUUAAAACAUGUGAAGCUUGUAGCUCCCACUACAUUGCUAUGACCAAGAAGGGUAAAGGAAUAACAUUAUUACUUGCUCAAAAAUCGAAGAGGCACCACCCUCAAAAUCUCAAGAGCCAGACUCCCAAUAGGAUUACUUUCUCAAAAAUCGAAGAGGCACUACUCUCCGAAUCUCAAGAGCCAGAUUUCCAACAGGAUUGCUUUCUCAAAAAUCGAAGAGGCACAGUUCUCCGAAUCUCGAGAGCUAGAUCCUCGAGAUGAUUGCUUGUUCGAAAACCGAAAAGGCAUCGCUCUCUGAACCUUGAGAGCCAGAUUUCCUUAGAUAAAGCUUGUCUGCAAUCUUCACACGCAAGAUCAGCUUUCCAGAUACCACAUACCACUUUUUCAAAGUGCUCUAACAAAGUUAAAACACGUGAAGCCUGCAGCGUCCACUACAUUGCUACGACCAAGAAGGGUAAAUGAAUAACAUUACUACUUGUUGUUAAGGAGACUCCUAUAUAUGUCGACAUCCAUCCUCCACGGACAAGCAAGCCAGCCACACCAGAGCAAGAGUAUGUCAACGAAGCCUCUCGAAAUACUCAAAUUUCUUCCCCCCCCAUAAUACCUAUGCAAACCAGCCACACCAGAGCAAGAGUAUCUCAUAUCAUCAGGGUCAAAAGCAAUAGUAUCCCAUAUCAUGCUUUUUCUGUGUCUUUUCCUUUGCCCUUGUUCUUACUUGCAAGACAAGGAGAAAGAGAGCAAUCAGUCAGCACUUGGAAUCAAGCUUUUAGUCAGGAACUGACUGCCUAGAACCCCUUACCUGAUUACUUACCUGGCAUUGCUCUCGAGUACUCAUCUUCAACAUCUUAUGCUUCGAGUACUUAGAAGUUUCGUGAUUACUCAAUGGCUUGGAUCUUACAAGUCCCCAACCGAUGAGCUUCCCUGACUCGGGAACUUAGGGAAGCACUGUUUGUACCAUACUUGACCAAUCUCGAAACUACUGAGCACCGGUCAACGUUAUACUGUCAAGGACUCAGAAGAGUUUCCCUUCAACCAAGAGGCCAAUCACAGCGCGACACGUGUCGAUAUUAGAAGCUAAUCAUAGCGCGACACGUGUCAACAUCAGAAGCCAAUCACAACACAACACAUGUCAAUGUCAGAAUGAAACUAGAAACUUUCUUCUAUAAAUAGAGAUCAUUCUCUCACAAUAUUUCCUAAUGUCAUUUGUACUAAAUCAUUCACUUGUACUCACUAAAGGAGAGCUUGAACCUAUGUACUUAUGUAAACCCUUCACAAUUAAUGAGAACUCCUCUACUCUGUGGACGUAGCCAAUCUGGGUGAACCACAUACAUCUUGUGUUUGCUUCCCUAUUUCUAUCCAUUUGCGUACUUAUCCAUACUAGUGACCAGAGCAAUCUAGCGAAGGUCACAAACUUAACACUUUCUGUUGUACCAAAGUCCUCACUGAUUUUGUGUAUCAACAAAAUUUAAAUUUAAACACAAAAUUUAAACAAAAUUUAAACACUUGCUAGAUUGCUCUGGGUGAGCAUGUCCACCAUUCAAUGUGAUCCUUUUAGUUUAUAUGAUUAUUUAUAUGAUUACUUUAAAUGUGGUUUAGAAUGUACUUCCUAAAUCGUAUUCAUGUUCUAUGCCCACAACAUAUCAUAUUGUAUUCUCUUUCAACGGUUUAAAGGUUAGAGAUCCAUUAUUAUACAUUCACAUGCCUAUAUGAUUAUGUAGCUUAACCCCAACUAUGUUGUUGACAGCCUUAAAUGGAGUGCUUUUAACAUAGUUAAAGACUAAAAAUCUAACUACAAUACAACUAUGAUGUCUCAAGUCAAAUGACUACUUUGCAUAAUCCCAAUUAUGAGUUCUCAUGUGACAUGAGUAUGAUAACUUUUUGUUGAUCAUGUUCAAUAGUCUUGCACUCGAUUGAGCACCAAGACACUUGUCUUGAUAUUAUUUACACCAAUGACUCGUGACCAGUCACUCUCCAGGGAGAGAAGACAUAUUAUGUAUUGAUCUAUCGAGAUUGUCAAUGCCCAAUUGUCAAUCCUAUGAUUAUGUAUGUUUAGGAAUUAGGAUAUGUGUAUGAAAAAGAAUGGUCUAAUGAAUCUAACUUCUUAGACCUUUUUCUCUUAAUUACAUAUUCCUUGGACUUAUCGUAUAACAUGUAAUUGAGACUGCUUUAAACAAUAAUCUUUGCCCUUUGCUUGAACUAGAUUAUUUUAAUACGUGAAAUGUUAAUAAAGUAUCAUCUCAUGAUUGUGAACGAUUCUACAUUCAUGGUUAGGUCCAUGCUCUAACGAACACUCAAGAUCUCAACCUAGGCACAGUGUCCACUCGCGACUUGGCUCGCAAGAAGCUCAUCCUAUCUUAUAUUGGAGCUAGCAGCACAUGGAACAUGAAGUAACUCGAGGACACUUAGGCUCAAGUUCAACUAGUAUUCAACUCCAAGCACAAGCAUGAGCAUUAUGUUCACCAUGUACUGCAACCGCAACACAGAUGAGCAAACAAGUGGGAAGAGCAGAACGAACCUACAAACCAUCACCGGAGGCAGCCGAAUGCAUUAUCGUCCAGGCAGUGGUAGGCCGCUUUCAUACCCUUGAAGCUCAUGCUUAUAUGCUUACAAGUUUAUCACCCAAGUGGAGGGCCUUCAAGUUCUCACCAAGCUCCUUGGAUGUUUCCUUGCUCAUUGGAUCUUCUCUAGUUGAAUCUUUGCUUCUUAGCUCCAUAAAGGUUUGAUGAAAUAUUUCUCUAAAGCUUCCAAAUUGCAAGCCUCUAAGUCACCACACCAAGGAUGUGGUGUGAAGAAAAGAUUUGAUGAUUUAAGAGAAGUUUUGGUGCUAGUAAAACUUCCCCUAAGGGCCAGCCUGUUUAGAGAGAUAAAGAUAGAAUAAUGUUUUUCUUGUUCCUCUAAAGAAAACCCUAAUGAGCCAUUGCUUAUAACUUCCUUUUUAUACCUGUUGAAGUUCCUUUCGAGUGCAAAUAUAAGGAUAAUAUAGCGGCACAAGUAAGGGUGCCCAACCAUAGGGACUGAGAAACAACUUAGAAAAACCUUUGACUUUUACAAAUUAGCAAUAGUUAAAGACUCCUUAUGACUUAAAAUGGGGGGUUUGAGUAAUUUUGGAAAAGAAAUAAAGACAGAAAGAAAAGGGAAAAAUUAGAAUUAUCUAAAAAUAAACCUAAGACAUGAAAUUGGUUAGAAAUGUUUUUAGAACAUAAAUCUGACUUCAAAUGAACAAAGGCCUUCACCUAAACAUUCCUGAAGCAGUGAUAUGAUCUUUUAACUUAUCCCUUUCAAAUGCAUAACUAAGAUGUUCACAUAUCUAGCUUGGCAUAUAACUAGACUGUAUGAAUCCUCUCUUACUUUGCAUGUUAGAUGCAUGGCAUAUACAUAAAACUUAUAUGUAUAGGUGCAACCUAGCAUGGCAUACACUCAGAUUUAACACCCAAGAACUCAUUAAGAACGAAGAGGAAUAUGAACAUCACAUGAACCCUAGAACAUGGUAUUUAUCCUAGAACUUCAUGGAAUCAAUUUACAUGAUUAGUUUUGAACCUAACCACAUGUUGCUAAUGAAUGAAAGAAGAUAUGCAGUCAUCCUUAUCAUUCCCAACAGAAAGCAAACAAAAAUAAGGUAGCUAAGCUUGAAAAUAUGUGCUUGAAAUGAUUGAAACAGAAAACUGAUUCUAGCCUGCAAAUGAAAUUGAUAAACUAAAGCUGCAUCAUAGCAUUAAUUCAAUCAUGUAUAGGGCUUCAAAGCAGCCCUAAGUAUCCAUAAACUAAAUUAAAAACAUAACAAAAUACAUAAAAAGUCAGGAAAGCUAGAACCUAGAAACUGCUCAAGGCUGAAGACUCGUGCUCUCUCUAGAUUUUGUGUUUUUUUUUCUCCUCUUCUUUCUCCUUCUAAUUCUGUGUAUUUUUCUCCUAUUAAAAGGCUUAGGAUUUUUUCUAAUAUCUGACACAUUUACAUCUUGACUCUCAUUUAUAGCUCAUUACAAUCAGCUUUUAGUAUAGGAGUAAUUGAAAACUAGCUGUUAUCAGAAUUUGUAUCUAAACAGCUCCAAUUUAUUCUAUCAUAACUUCUUGUUGAAACCUUCAAAUCACAAGUUGUAAAGACCAUCAUAAAGAAGACUUCCAGGGCUUUCCAACCAUAUAUGGGCCCAUUUUCUAAUUCGUUCUGAGCACUUCGGGGCAAAGCUCAGAAGUUGGCCAUUUUGCAAGGGCCUUUUCUGUCGGAUCUUGGGUCACUUGUGGGCUAUGGUCUGGUAUUGGGCGAGUUGGGAUACAAAUUAUAUAAUGAAUAUAACGAGUUGGGUCAAGUUUAGGAUAGCGUGUUUGCAAAUAUAGUUGUAAUACAAAUUACAUAAUGAAUAUAAAUAGAUUGAUUUAAAAUCAUGUGGUCUUUAAAUCAAAUAGCACCGCCCACUGUGUUGGGUAAAUUCCAUAUCCCUUAAUUAGAAUUCGAAAGUUUGGGAGGAAACUCUUAGUAAGAUAUGAAAAGCUCACCACAAAACCCACCUCAGAAGACUAUCAUAUUGGAUGACAUUAAUAAUAGGGAUGUGCUAUCUACACACCCAUUUUUACUUCUCACACACCCCUUGUUAAUUUCUAUGCAUUAAUCUUCUUGAAUUCAUCCGAUCCAACGGCAAAAACCAAAAAGGUGUGGAAGAAGUAAAAAGGGGUGUGUGGAUAUCACAUCCCUAAUAAUAAUGAGAGAGUAACUCUUGGUCAUUUACAAAUCUUGUAAUUAUCUAUCUCAUUUGGCCGUUAGAGAAUGAUGCUUAAGAAGAAUAUCAUAUUGGCACAAUUGCACUUAAGCUAUUCUCAUCAUGCUAGUUCGUGUAGGGGUUCAAGAAUGACCUCAAAAGAAUAUCAUAUUGGCCAUACUUGUCGGACCAUGAUUUUCUAGAGCUGGAGUAAGGCGGAUUGAAAUACACAUACCUCAGAAGUUCGAUCUUGGACUCGACAGCCUCUGCUGUGGAGCUGACUAAACUAACUAGCGAUGCCACCAUCAUCUUGUUUCGAAAUCAGUGGAUGAAGUUUGACGACUUUGUUGAAAUUAACCCUCCAUGUUUCACAAUAUACGAGAACCUAAUCCAGCAAGUAAUCAUUAGGUUUCCUAUGAUCUUAGAGUCCUUACAAUCUAAGAAUUGGCAUUUGCCGCAAGUAAUCACACCCUUAAGAGGAUGCAAUAUCGACUUCCUAAAUAUCCUUUAGGAUUGUCCUAGUUUAAUAAGUAUUCUACUAUCUUAAGUAUCGUCCAAUUGACUAAAAGAAAACUCCCUAAAUUACACAUGCUUUGAUUCUCCAAUAAUAUGAGAAGAUAUGUAAGCCAUCUAUCCGAAUCCAAUCACUAAAAGAUCAAUGUCGUAGUUUGCAUGAAGACAAGUCCCUGGAGAACUCAUCUCCUUAUUGCCUCACCAUGAGCUACUCAUCAAAGAUGAUCCCCAAUGACAAUUUUUUACAUUAUAUCAUAUUUUUUGAACUACAUCAGUGAUUUGAUUCUCUCCAUAAAAUGACAGAAACAAAGGAAAAGAAAUUUGGGUUGCCUCCGAAGAGCGCUACAUUUAGAGUCUUUAGCCGGACUAUACUGUUGCUCAAGCUCGAUCAAAUAAAGGGAUGUCAAUCUUCAUUCCAUUGAAGUUAACUUUUAUAUAAGGCUUUAACGCUGAUUGCUAACUUAGAAUGCAUUCCCUGUCUCCGGAUUUUGCCCUUUAAUCGCACCAUGAGGAAAGACUUGUAAUACUAGAAAUGGGCCAUACCAACGUGAACAAAGCUUUCAAUCUAGAAUUGUACAACAACAUUUUCUGACCAACAUAGAACUCUUUGAGUUGAAUGUUUUUAUCAUGCCAAUGCUUGGUUCUUUUCUUGUAAAUUCGAGCAUUCUCAUAAGCAUCGUUUUUUAACUCUUCAAGCUCAUUUAAUUGUAAAAGCCUUUUCUAUCCAACAACUUGAAAAUUGAAAUUAAGCUUCUUGAUUGCUCAAUAAGCCUUGUGCUCGAGUUCAAUCAGCAAGUGACAAGCUUUCCCGAAAACCAAUAUGUAUGGAAAAAUCCUAAUAGACGUUUUAUAAGCUGUUCUGUAUGCCCAGAGAGCAUCAUCUAAGCGAAGAGACCAAUCUUUGCAUUAUGUAUUCAUCGCCUUCUCUAGAAUAUGCUAAUCUCUCUAUUUAACACAUACAGUUGGCCACUAGUUUGAAGAUGGUAAGGUGUAGCGACCGUUUGAGUGAUAUUAUACUUUUCCAAGAGAGCUUCGAACUACUUGUUACAAAAAUGUGAGCAUCCAUCACUGAUAAUUGCUCUUGGUGUUCUAAACCAAGAGUGUUCUACACCAAGAGAAAAUGUUGGCCUUGAGAAACCGUAGAAUAACUCUAACAUCAUUGGUUGGUGUGACAACAACUUCCACCCAUUUAGAAACACAGUCGACAACCACUAGAAUGUAUUUAUGUUGAUAUGAUAAAAGAAAAGACCCAUAAAGUCCAUGCCCCAUACAUAAAAAAAUUAACUAUCAAAAUAUUGUUCAAUGACAUCUGAUUUCUAUGAGAGAUAUUACCAAGCCUUUGACAUCAUAAGCAACAACAAAUGCAUGAGAAUCUUUGAAUAAUGUUGGCCAGAAAAAUCCAUAUUGCAGAAUUAUGGCUGCUAUCUUUGUCACUCCAAACUGCCCUCCACAAACUUAUGUACGGUAAUGGUUCCAAAUACUUUGUUGCUCAUUUUCGGGAACACAUUGGCAAAUGAUUUGAUCUGGACAAUGCUUAUACAAAUAGGGAUCAUCCAAAAAAUAAUGCUUCACUAGAGAGAAGCAUUCCUUCAUUUGUUGAAAAUUCAAAUCCUUUGAAACCACACCACUGGCCAAGUAGUUCACAAAGUUGGCAAACCAAGGGACUGUACCAUGUUGGACAGCAAGCAACUAUUCGUCAGGAAAAGUUUCAGUGAGAAACAAAAGUUUCAGUGAGAAACAAUGGCAUCAACAUCUUCUUCUUGAACUAUCUUGGAUAAAUGGUCUGCCACCACAUUUGAUCAAUCUUGGCUUUGCAUAUUUUUUUUUAACAUAAGAUGUUUCAAGGCAGCAUGGUCGGUGUACAUAAUCACCUUCGAACAAAUGAGAUAGGACUAGAACUUAUCAAGCUUAAAUACUACAGCUAGCUACUCUUUUUCAGUGGUUGAAUAGUUUAACUGGGCACCAUUUAGAGUGUUAUUCGCAUAGUAAAUAACAUUUAGUAACUUGUCUUUCGCUGCCCUAAGCUGCUCCCACGACAUAGUUACUUGCAUCACGCAUCAAUUCAAACUAAAGGCUCCAAUUGGGUGCUAUAAUAAUAAGGGUUGAUGUGAGAAGCUUCUCCAAGGUGCUAAAAGAAAACAAAAAAUCUGACUUGAACUCAAAUACGACAUCUUUUUGUAGUAGGUUGCUAAGAGGCUUGGCUAUAUAGGAGAAGUCUUUAAUAAAUCACUGAUAAUACCCUGCAUGGCGAAGGAAACUUCGGACUCCUUUAACUAAUGUAGGUGCUAGAAGCUUUUCAAUAAGCUUAAUUUUUACUCGAUCAAACCUCAAUUCCCAUGCUAGAAAUUUGAUGCCCUAAUACAAUGCCCUCUUGCAACAUGAAAUGACAUAUUUACCAGUUCAACACCAAGUUUGUUUCUUGACACCAUUUCAGCAUAAGAGUCAAAUUGUGAAGACAAUCAUCAAAGGAAGAUCCAAAGACAGAAAAGUCAUCCAUGAAGACUUCGAAAAACCUUUCAAUCAUGUCAGAAAAAUACUCAUCAUACACCUUUGAAAAGUGGCAAGUGCGUUACAAAGUCCGAAGGGCAUUUAUUGAUAAGCAAACGUCUUAAAUGGACAAGUGAAUGCUGUUUUUCUCCUGAACUUUCGGCGUAAUGGCAAUCUGGUUAUAUCAGGAAUAGCCAUUUAAGAAACAAUAGUGUGAAUGACCCACAAGUCUCUCCAACAUUUGAUUAAUGAAGGGCAUAUGGAAAUGAUCUUUACGUGUAUGUCAUUGUUUAUCUUCCGGUAAUCUUUGCAAACUCUCCAAUUCAUUUUUGGUCUUAUGGGAACUAACUCAUUGUUGUCAUUUUAACCAGAGUGAUGCCUUUUUUCUUUGGAACUACUUGAACCGGAUUAACCCAUUUACUGUUAGAUAUUGGAAAGAUAACUCACACAUCUAAAAGCUUGAGAACUUAUGCUCAGAAAACUUCCUUCAUAAGUCGGGUGAGUUUUCUUUGAGCCUCAAUGAAAAGCUUGCUGCCUUCUUCAAGAAGAAUUCGAUUCAUACAUAAGGUUGGGUCUGCCUUUGAUGUUGGCUAUAGUCAAUCCCAAUGCUAUGUUGUAUUUUCUGAGUAUCAAAGCAUUCUUUAGGAUAAGACAACUUGGCUGGAAUAAUCAUUGGUAAUGUCUCAGAAGCACCUAAAUACUUCAGAUGGGUAACAAUUGUUUCAAGUCUAGCUUCGAUGCAACUUCAACAGAUGGAUAAAUUUUCACCGAAGCUCAUCCCAAGGCUUUGCAAUGGUGCCCUCAAACGAGGAUUGUGUGGAGGGGUAGAAUUGAGUAUAUUGGCAAUUUCCAUGACUUCUUCCACUUCACCUCUAGGCAUGGAUGAAUGAAAUAGACAAGCUUCGAGAGGUUCAGUUAGAUGUUGUGCUCGAAACUGCUUACUCACAAUCUGAUUCUAGAUAUCAACUCUGAAACAUUCUUCCUGAUCUCUUGUAUGCUUGAUAGCUUCAAAAACCUUGAACACCACUUCCUUGUCUUCAACUCACAAUGUAAGUAAACCACGUUUAACAUCAAUCAGUGUACCGAUAGUAGCUAAUAAUGGAUGGCCAAGUAUAAUUGGAAUAUUUCUAUCUUUUUCCAUAUCAAGAACCAAGAAAUCCACAGGUAGGAUUAACUGAUCAACUUGAACCAACAUAUCUUCGACAAUUCCUCUUGGGUAAGUGACAAAUCGAUCCGUUAGUUGUAGAGACACUAACGUAGGUUUCAUUUGCCCAUGCCUAGCUGUUUAAAAUAGAAUAUGGAGUUAAGUUAAUACUAGCACUACGAUCACAUAAAGCUUUAUCAAAAGAAGAUUUUCCAAUUGUGCAAGGAAUCGUAAAACUCCCUGGAUCAGUCAACUUUGGUGGUUAGCUUCUUUUGCAAUAUAUCGCUACACUCUUCUAAAAGCAUUACGUUUUUGUGCUCCAAAAAUCUCCUCUUGUUCGUGUAAGAAUUAUUCAAGAACUUUGCAUAAUUGGGAAUUUGUUUCAUUGCAUCAAGUAGAUGUAUGUUAAUGUGCACUGUUUUAAAUAACUUUAAAUAUGAGAAAUUUUUUUAUCUUUCUUAGCCUUAUGAAGCUGCUAAGGAUAUGGAAGGGGUGGAACAUUGGCCUUCUCCAAAAUUGAAUAUUCUAUAAGUGAAGAAUCUGACAUGAGAACAAUGUUGGGCACUUGAGCAGCUGAAUUAAAACAAUUCUCCUCUUGCCGUUCAGUGACGACGCUCUUAGACUUUUCAAUUAGUGUUACUUUUUCUUCAUUGUUCGUCUCUAUAAUUCUCACACUCCUGAGUUUGGUAGCCUUUAAUUGCUGCAUAUUCCUUAGAUUAAUCUCAGUUUAACUGGGAAACUUGCCCUUUUAUCUUAAUCAUCUCAUUUGCAAUCUGCUGAACUUGAUCCUCUAGCUUGCGAAUAGAUGCUUGCUAAUUUUUUUAGAGAAGUUUGAGUUGUUUGCAUGAAAUUGUUGGUGUUUUAAGCCAAUUGAGCCAUCAUAUCUUCCAUUGAGCUCUUUUUGGCUUCAUUGUUUUGGAACGAUUAAGGUGGGUUCAUUUGAUUUUGUUGAUUGUUCUUCCAAGAAAAAUUGGAAUGAUGAUGCCAACCAAGAUUAUACUUGUCAAAGAACGGAUUAAACUGUUGGCGAUUGAAGUUUCCAAUUUGAUUGGUUUGUUCUUUAAUGAACUCCGAAAAUGAACCCUUCAUAGGACAAUCCAUACUAGAAUGUGUACCUACACAAAUUUCACACAUAUUAGAAACCAUCUUUGACUGAUUAGAACACAUUAAAGAAUCAAAUUUCUUAUUUAAGUUAGAAAUUUGGGCAGCCAUAGCCGUAAAUGAAUUAAUCUUAUAUACACCAACUUUCUUUGUUCUUUUCCUCCACCCCAAUUUUGAGAAUUGGCAGCCAGGUAUUGAAAAGUGCAGAUGCUUCAUCAACGGUCUUAGUCAUUAGAGGACCCCUACUAGUAUGACCUAUCAUUUACUUAUUGUCAGCAUUCAAACCUUGAUAGAAAAACUGAAGUUGUAACUAUUUUGGCAAACCGUGAUUUGGACAUUUUAAUAACAAGUCUCUAAAUCUCUCCAAACUCUCAUAAAAAGGCUCACCUUGGAAUUGAGCAAAAGUCAUUAUUUCAUUCCUUAGCUUCGUAGUCUUGGAAGAAGGGAAAAAUAUCUACAAAAAUUUGUUGGCCAAAUAAUUACAAGUUGUUAUCAAAUUGGGUGGAAGUGAAUGGAGCAAAUUCUUCUCCUUAUCUUUCAGGGAGAAUGGGAAGAUGUGUAAUAUGAUAGCCUCACUUGGCACAUGAUGGAUCUUGAAAGUAUCACAUAUCUCGAGGAACUCAUUGAUUUGUGUUGAUGCACAAAAUUAGUGAAGACUUUGGAACAACGUAAACUGUCAAUUUUGUGACCUUUUGUCAGUUGCUCUAGUCACCUAGUGAGGAUAAUAUGUAAAGAGAUAGAGAUAGGGAAGCAAACACAAGGUCUACAUGGUUCACCCGAUGUUUGGAUACGUCUACGAAGUAGAGAAGUUCUCAUUAAUAAUGAAGGGUUUAUAUAAUACAUAAGUUCAAGCAUAAUCAUCAUUAAUGAGUUCUAAUGAUUAGUUUAAGUACAGUAAUGACAUUAGGGAUUAAUUGUAGGAUAAUGGUCUCAUUUUAUAGUUGAGGAAAGUCUUUAGCUUUUGUUCGCGGUUGAUGUGGGACUCUAUGAGCUUUAUUCUGACAUUGACAUAUGUCGCGCUAUGAUUGGCCUCCUGGUUGGAGGGAAACUCUUGUGCUUCAGCAAGGGUGCCUCAAUAUGAACCCCUCAGUGGCUUCUUGAAUGUAUGACAUUGAUCGGUGCUCGGGAGUUUCGGGAUUGGUCAAGUAUGGUACAAACAAUACUCCCCUAAGUUCCCGAGUGAGGAAAGCUUCUUGGUUGGGGACUUGACAAAUCCAAGUCAUUGAGUAAUCACGAAACUUCUAAGUACCGAGGUGUAGUAGCAUAUAAUAGGAGUCCCCUAAGUCUUCGAGCGAGAAGAGUUGCCGAAUGAGGUGUCUUGCUAGUAGCUAAGUUGUCAAAAUAACAAAGCUUUGCCCUUUUCUUUUCUAAGUGGCAACCCAAAAAUUCCUUACUCAUAUAUAUAUAUAAAGGUUGUUGAGCUCAAAGAAGUGGAGGCCCCCAUUUCUUUUUUGUUUUGGUUAGGCUGUCAGGCCUAAGAAAGGAGAAGCCCAACACCAUAGCCUAGGCAUAUAUAUAAGUUAUUUUAUUAUUAAACUAGCUGAAAUGUUGACCCAUCAUACCUUCUCAAGGGACAUGGAUCAUCUCCAGAUCCAGUUGUCCUAAUCCACCUAGUCAAAUCAUCUGAGCCAUUGAAAUUUGAUCCAACAACUAAAGUUAUUAUAACUUUUAAAGUGGGCCCUUGUUUGUGGUCGUUGGAUCAAAUUUCAAUAGCCCAAAUGAUUUGACAAGGUGGAUUAGGACAACUGGAUCCAGAGAGGAUCCAUGUCCCUUCUGAAGCCCAACUAAAUAAUGACCCAUCAAUAAAAAGAGUGGACAUGGGACGUCGCACCUGUCUGACUGACAACCAUUAAAGGUGUUAUUUUAUAUUAUUUUUGUUUGAAUUGCAAAACCCUAGGUUUUAGGCUAGGCCUACCGUCACCUUAUCCCCUUUUUCUCUUAUUUUAUUUGUUAUUUUAUAUUAUUUUGUAUUUUAUAAUAAUUAGUUUUUUAGGUCAAAAUUGCACCUCUUUUUUUUUUACAGGAGUUUUAACGAAACACUUCCGGUACUGUUCAUUUUUAACAAAAAACCACAUUUUUACCUUUCCUUGUUACUAUUCACUACACCUUUAUUUGUCAUUUUUCAUUAAAACUAAAGGCCUAUUUGGUAUCCUAUUUGAAAAUUUUUAUCAUUUCUCAAAACAUUUCUUAAGAACAUUUCUUGAAAACAAUUUUCUUUAAGAUGCAAAACUUUAUUGGUUUGCCAUUUAAAAUUUUUAAAUCUUAUGACUUAAACUAGACAAAGAGAUCUAAAAAGGGGGUUGCAGGAGAGAGAGAAAGAUAAGAGAGGAGGAAAGAAAGUAAGAGAUGAUUGAAGGAAAGAGAAAUAUGAGAGAGAAGGAAAGAAAGUAAGAGAUGAUUGAAGGAAAAAGAAAGAAGAGAGAGAAUCAGAAAAGAUACGAAGAGAGAGAAUCAGACGAGAUAGAGAGGAAGAGGAGUGAGAAAUAACCGAGAGAAUGAAGAUAACAAAUUGGAGGAGAGACAAAAAAGGUAAACAAAAUGAGCAGAGAAAGAAGAAAAUAAAGAGAUACAUUUGGAGUGAAAUGGGAGGGGGAGAGAAAAGAAAGGAGUGAGUUUAAGUUUAAAAACUCUAAAUACUCAUUUGUUAUGUUUUUAGGGAAUAGACUACAUUUUUGAGUUAGUCUUGAGUUCGGUUUUUUAAAAUAGUCCUACCAAACAAGUUUUUAAGGCCUAAAACUUGAAAAUUAUUUUCGAGUUUAAAAAGUUGGAUUCAAGUAGAGUACCAAACAAGCCCUAAAGUUUUUUUGGACUCUUUGAACCCUAAGCUUUAUCACUCUUCCCGGCCGUCCGUCUCCCUUCCUUCAUAUUUCUCUCUCAUUUUUUCAUCUCACCAAACCUUUACAACCUCCCUUACUCCAUCGUGAAAUUUGCACAAACCCAAGAAACAAAACCACUGCUCAGACAAACAUCAAAAUUUCAGUAACAAAACUUAGAAAUCGAAUCCCGAAAGCCCAUUUGUCACUUGUGGCAACUCCCCAUCUUUCGCCGCCGCAGUCCUGGUCGUCACCUUCGUAACCUCGCAGCUCCUGCACACUCCACCCUCUAUCUUCUUCCCCAGCUCUCCGCCCGUCCCUUGCACUAUUUUCCUUUGGAAAUUCCAAGAUCUAGGAUAUAUGGGUUCUACAACAGGUCAUGAAGAGGGUUGGCAUUUACCAAAACUUUGGCGUAGCCGAAGCCUGAGGGCUUUUUGGUUGCUAGAAAUUGCAGUGAGGUUCGGCUUAUGGGUAUAUUAAGGGUGAUGGUAGAUUAGUGUUGAAGAAGUGGAAAGGUGUGGUGGUAGACGGAGCUCGGGUCCGUGAGGUGCGAAGGGAUUUGAAAUUAUGGUUUAUGCGUAUAUUAAGGGUGAUGGGUCAGGUGAAGGUGAGGUGGUCUGAAAGUACCUUGGAGGUGUAGGUGUAGUUUGAAAUAGGGGACUACGAUUUUCUCCCCUCCUCUUUCCAUCCCCUCCUCUCACACUCUUUAUUUUGUCUUUCUCUUUCUAUAAAAAAUUAGUAUAUGAUGUUGAAGUGGCUUAACCGUGACCUUUCAAAUAGGAAGGGAGGGAAGGGGAGGGAAAAAAUAGGGGAGAAAAUCCUUCUUUUCAGGUUGUGGUUGGAAGGGUUUGGAGGUGUUAUGGCCAUGGGUUUUGGUUCUGGUUUUUUAUGGGGUGCUUUCAUCAGGAUAGGUCACAUAGACUAAGAGGUGGGGGUCUUUCAUGAUUUUGAUAUUGCCAUCAAUCCUUAGCACAAUAUUCAAUGCUUCCUGACUGUAUUUGAUUUAAAUAUGUAUGUGGAGGAGUACUUCUUCUAAGCCUGUAUCAUAUAUGAAAUUAUUUGUGCUUUUGUUUAUGAUAUAUUUGAAAUUGUAUACAUAUACUUGUAUAUGAUAUAAAAUAGGGAUCUUGUGAAUAAUGUUUAUGUUUAUAAGUUUAUUGUUGCACAGAUUGGUAAAAUGUUGGGCUUUGUGAAUUUUCUGAAUAGUUGUAGCAAUAGUUUGUGUUUGAAAAAUAGAUUAAUAGAUAAAAGCUUGGGGUUAUAGUUUAAUAGGAAGGUCUUUUAGUUGUAGGUUCUUUGCUUUUACAUGGGUAUAGCUUGUAGCUUGAGUGAUUUAAUGUGGAAGAGACUAUAUAAAUAGGUUUUGCUUCCAUACUCUUGAGGAAGAGUGUAACAUCGCACAUUGCCCAAGGGAGUGGAUCCUGUAAGUCUUAUAUGUAUAUUCCCAUCUCUACCUAGCAUGAGGCCUUUUGGGAGCUCAUUCACUUCGGGUUCCAUCAGAACUCCAAAGUUAAGUGAGUUCGGGCGAGAGCAAUCCCAUGAUGGGUGACCCACUGGGAAGUUCUCGUGUGAAUUCCCAGAAACACAACUGUGAGGGCGUUGUCGGGGCCUAAAGCGGACAAUAUCGUGCUACAGCGGAGUCGAGCCCGGGAUAUGGUGGGGGCCCGGGCCGGGAUGUGACAAUUUGGUAUCAGAGCCAAUCCUUGGCCGGAAGUGUGCCGACGAGGACGUCGGGCCCCUAAGGGGGGUGGAUUGUGACAUCCUACAUCGCCUAGGGGAGUGGAUCCUGCAAGCCUUAUAUGUAUAUGAUAAGCUCAUAUUUAUAUAUAUUUUACAUCAAAUUCACUUGUCUUUUCUUAGUUAGUUCCUUAUAUUUUUGAGCUAUUUACUUUGGUUUUGUGUUUAGUAGGAUUUGUCAAGCAAAGAAAAGAAAAAUAGCACAAGUUGGAUAUUAAGUGACAAAUUCGUCAAAACUGCCUGUGCAGGUCAGCUGACUUUGGAAGCAAUUUUCAAACAGCUCAGAAUGAAUUAGAGAAUGAGCCUUAUAUGCUUAGAAAGCUACGGAUGUCUAUUUUCUGGAGCAUUUCGCGGAUUGUUAAUAGCAUUUUUGUAGAAGAAGUUAUGGCCGUUUUAACACUGAAAGGUUUCCAAGACGCUGUGCAGUUUGUAACUGCAUUGAAGGCAAUAAAUCCAAUAAAACUUGCAGCCAAGAACAAGCCAGCUGACAUCUCCUCAAAUAUCAGAUGAAAUGGAAUUAAAGAUGAUGAUUAAGUGGGAGUAAUUGGCAUAAAGGUUGCCCAAAGAGUUACAAUUGUUUUACAAUUUCCUCUCACUUAUUGUCAUCACUAAAUGGCUGUUAGUGGGGUGAGUUAUGGAGCAGAAAUGGGGCAGUUAGCAUGGGCAUAAAGGCUGCAGGUUGCAGCAGCAAAGGAGAGUUCUUUAGAGAAAAAAAAGAUAGAAAAAAAAAGGAAGGAAACGAAGGAAAAAAAAGCAAGGCUGCUGCGUUGAGAAAGGAAGGAAAGGAAGGAGGAAAUCUUGGCAUUCUCUUCUCUCGGUUUUAUCUUCUCAAACUCAUGUCUUUCUUUUGGUUUAUUUUGAGAACUAUGUGUAACUAAUUUUUUAGAGGUUAGGGGCUGUUUUGAAGCCCCGAAUAUGAUUGCAAUUUUGUUAUGACAUUUCGUUGAAUUACUUUUAUGAAUGGAUGAAACUUGGUUCACUACUUGUCUCAUUGAUGAAUUCUUUAUUUGUUUUCUAUGGAUGCAUACGUAGUAAGCAUAUCUAGGAUUCUAAUGCUAUGAGUAUGUGUGUGCCUGCCCUUGUCGAAUGAGGACCUACAUAUGUUCUAAAGUAGUACUUGUUAAUUGCGAUUAACAUGUGAACCAAUUUCUAGGAUAAGUAAGACAACGCCAGUACUUACCAUGCCUUGUGAUGACUCAAACUCUUUUCGUUCUUAAUGAUUUCUACUUGUUAAAUCUAUGAACACGCCAUUCUAGAUUGCAUGCUAGGGACUAAGUUAAGUUGAAAACGCCAUUCUCUUAACAUACUACUUAAGAAAGAGUAAUAGGUUGAGUUCUAACAUUGAGCCAACUUGAGCAUCUUCAUCUGGAAAUAAAAGAAAUUUGAAUGAAACAUAACAUGUUUGCAUGAUUAUUUGGUGGUGGAUAGCAAUACCCCUAACUCGUUUUUCUUAAUUUGUGAACUACUUAAAAUUUGUUUCUAUCAUGUUUUUGUUCGAUUUAAUUUAAAUAGCAAAUCAACUCCAAAAAUCCCAAAAAUUUGUGUGAGUGUAGCUUUGUGUGUCUAGUAUCUACAUAUAAAAUUUCGUAGACUUUAGAUAUGUAUAAGUCAGUCUAAUAAUUAUUUUUCGGUGGCUGGUCAGUAGGGACAGCAACCCAGUUUUUGUGACAUUUUAGGUAGUUAGAUAAAACAAUCUUCUGUGGGAAAGACCCUUAUUUUCAUAUGCUACAAUUGACAAAUCUUAGUGUUAAUAAGGAAAAUCAACAGGACAUUUGUGUGCUACUUUGUGGUGUGCUUUUAAUCCUAUCAGUAUAUUCUCAUCUUUACCUAGCAUGAGGAUUUUUGGGAGCUCACUGGCUUUAGGUUCCAUCGGAACUCCGAAGUUAAGCGAGUUUGCGCGAGAGCAAUCCCAUGAUGGGUGACCCAUUGGGAAGUUCUCGUGUGAGUUCCCAGAAACAAAAAUGUGGGGGCGUGGUCAGGGCCUAAAGCGGACAAUAUUUUACUACGGCGGAUCGAGCCUGGGAUGUGGUGGGCGGGGCUGGAUUGUGGUGGGGGCCCGGGCCAAGAUGUGAUAAUUUGGUAUCAGAGCUAAUCUCUAGUCAGAAGUGUGCCGACGAAGACGUCGAACCCUCUAAGGGGGGUGGAUUGUAACAUCCCACAUCGCCCAGGGGAGUGGAUCCUAUAAGUCGUACUUGUAUAUUCACAUCUCUACCUAGCACGAGGCCUUUUGGGAGCUUACAGGCUUCGGGUUCCAUUGGAACUUCGAAGUUAAGCGAGUUCGCGCAACAGCAAUCCCAUGAUGGGUGACCCACUGGGAAGUUCUCAUGUGAGAUCCCAAAAACAUAGCUGUAAGGGCGUGGUCGGGGCCCAAAGCGAACAAUAUUGUGCUAUGGUGGAGUCGAGCCCGGGAUGUGGUGAGGGCCCGGGCCGGGAUGUGACAAAGAGUGUGGAAGGUUUUGUUGAAAUUAUGUGUGAAGCUUUUUUUAACUACAUAAAUAGAUUUUGCUUCCACACUCUUGAGCAAGUGUGUGGAAGGCUUCUUGAAAUUAUUUGUUGAAGCUUUCAGUUGAAGCUUUUCCUUUUAACCAUAUAAAUAGAUUUUGCUUCCACACUCUUGAGCAAGAGUGUGGAAGGCUUUUGAAAUUAUUUGUAGUUAGGCAAAGUGUGAAGGCUUUAUUUUAUUUUUUUUAUUAUUUUAUUAUUUUAUUAUUUUUUUCUUCAAGGGUGUAGGAAGCUCUAUCCCUUGGUUGUGGGAAGCUUUCUCCCUUCAAGGGUGAAAGAAGCUCCCUCCCUUGGGUGUGGGAAGCUCUCUCCCUUCAAAGGUGUGGGAAGCUCUCUUCCUUCAAGGGUGUGGGAAGCUCACCCAUUUGGGUGUGGGAAGCCCACUUUCUCCCUUCAAGGGUGUGGGAAGCUUAUACCCUUGGGUGUGAGAAGCUCUCUCCCUUCAAGAGUGUGGGAAGCUCACCUUCUUGGGUGUGCAAAACUUUCUCCUUUCAAGGGUGUGGGAAGUUCUCUCCCUUCCAAGGUGUGGUAAGCUCACCCCCUUGAGGGUGUGAAUCUCUCUCCCUUCAAGGGUGUGGGAAGCUGAUGUGAAAAUUAACUUAACACACAAAUUUAACCCUCUUUUGACAACUGUAGUAUAAGUAUAAGUAGGGAUCGUUCUGGACCGGGGACAAGGAGGGCUUGCUAAUAACCUCUAAACUGACUCAAAAACAUAAAACUAAACUUAAAAAAUACUUAACAAGACUCACAAGACUCAAAGCAAACUUAAAAUACUCAAAACAGCUUAAAACAACUAAAUAAACUUAAACUAGACACUAGGAAUGACUUUGGACGAAAAUUGACUUUUACUUGAAUCAAAACAUUUAAAAACACAAAUUAAAACAGAUUCUAACUAAUUAGACACACUAAAGUAAAGGGGGAUUGAGUUUUGGACGAAGUUGAAACAAACAAACAAACAAGUAUGAAAAACUAGACAGAUUGUAAAAUAAAUUUGAGAAAUAAGAUGAUGGAUGGGAUAGCUAGAGGCUUUUUCUCCACACAUGACAUGUGUGCAAAUAACUCGAUUUCCAGUUACUACUUCAAUGAAUUAUGAACGACAAUGCUCCAAAUUAACUGUGACAUCACUAGUUAACUCUCAGAUUUUCCUUGUUUUAUUGGAUUGGAUGACAUCAUUCGACAACCCAAAACAUUCUUCUAAAGUUCCCCACAUGACAUCAUAAUAGAGAUACAAUCAAAGAUCAUUACGUUUACUGAAAAUCAUAAGCCUUGACAAAGCACUUGCAACUAUGACAUCAUGUCACUCAUGCUAGGAAUUGAACUUAACGCGAUAGUUUAUAAGCGACCUUCACUACAUGUGAAUAUAAGUUUGUAACAAUUAUGUGAAACUUCCUUAUAUUCUAGCAACGGAUUUAUCCAUGCCAAUUAAGUGUCGACCCUUAAUUAACAAAUACAAAUAAGUUAUCAAUCAAAUAGUUAAGCCAAUUGCAUUCACGAUUCAAGAGUUCAUAACUGGAAUUUAUCAAAUUAUAUUGCACACAUAAUCAUGGCUUUGAAAUCACCCUUAGCCAAGAGGGGUUUAGCCACUUAUAUUUACAACAAAACGAAAGGAAAUGAAUUUAAACAUUAGAAACAAAAGAAAGGAAACACCUAAACGCUCCAACGAUCCAAGUUGGACAGCAAGCACGUCCAAGCACUUUCCUUCCCUUCCUUUGCUACGGCACAAGGUGUUGGUGAGUGUUUGAAGGUUUGUUUGUAUGGAGGAAUGGAUGUGAAGAUGAAUGGAUGUGUUUGGAUGAAGGUUGUGUUGAAAUGGGAGUGAAUGAUCUAACCAAGUAUGAACUCAAUUUAUGUUACACACACUUCCUUUUAUAGAGGAAGUGCAAGACAAAGCAUGGGUAAAAUGGAGUGGUGUUGAAAUGAUUUAAAGGUGAAAGUGAAGUAAUGAUGCAAAGCAUGGGUAAAAUGGAGUGGUGUUGAAAUGAUUUAAAGGUGAAAGUGAAGUAAUGAUGCAAAGCAUGGGUAAAAUGGAGUGGUGUUGAAAUGAUUCAAAGGUGAAAGUGAAUUGAUGAUUGAUGCAAGAAUUAAACAUGGAUGGAGUGCACGGCAAAGGUUUGUUAUGUUACAAGGAACCCUUAAUUUGUGUCCUAAAAUGCAUGUAAAACCUUCAAUGUUGCUGGAACUUAGGGACAUUUAGGAUUUAGGAAAGAUCAAACCAAAAUAGGAAACCUUGGCUUAACCUUCCUACUUCAAGUAGGAAUCCUCAUCUUUAGGUCUUCAAUUUCGUCCAUUCCUUUAGCUCCAAGCAUGUGAUAUUUAUUCUGAGCCCAAAAUUGCUCCAAAAGGCUCCAAAAUGCACAUUUUUGCAUACUUUGUCCUUAGAACCUGAAAUUGGACAAAAAUGACUUUAAACACUAAAACAACUAAGGAAUAACAACCUAAAUGCAUGAGAACAAGCUAACUCAGUCGCAUAAAUAUGCUCCAAUCAAAACAAACAGAACCCAACUUAACCUUCCAACAUUUGCCUCAAGGAUUUCUAAUGCACAUGACAUGUUAAAAAUCAUCAUUCCCACAGCUUUUAAUCAUCUUCACACUUGAGCACAUACUUAAUUACAGUCAUCACUUACUAGUUCGCAAUUAACCAAUUAAAACGAUAUUUUGAAUGUAGUAGCAUGCCUUAGAGAAUUUGCUCAAUUCCUUACAAGAUACUCUCUAUUUUCACACACAUUUUCUGACUACACACCCUACACUAGUUAUAUGUGAGCAGAAUGAUGUAAACAUGGAAGACUAGUACUCACAUAUGUUAUAACAAAGAAUGCAAUUUCUGGAGUUAAUAAGCAUGUUUAGAUAUGAUCUCAUGAAUGGAAUGCUACUACUUAAAUGCGAGAACCAGUGACAUCAUAUGCUCAUACCAAUUUCAAACUCCACGAAUUGAAACACACAACACUCGAGAUUGAAGUCAAGGGUUGUAAUGGGGCUUAGGGGUAAUGGCUAAUAAAGAAAGGACAGGGAUAGCAAACGUUCUUAAAGCAAUAGCAAGCAAAGUAAUGAAAUAGACACUUGGAAUU